UACAGAGGUCUCAAGCGUUGUUCGGAUAUACUGGGCGUAAAGCGCACGUAGGCGGCGCCGUAAGUCAGGGGUGAAAUCCCGGAGCUCAACUCCGGAACUGCCCUUGAAACUGCAGUGCUAGAAUCUUGGAGAGGCGAGUGGAAUUCCGAGUGUAGAGGUGAAAUUCGUAGAUAUUCGGAAGAACACCAGUGGCGAAGGCGACUCGCUGGACAAGUAUUGACGCUGAGGUGCGAAAGCGUGGGGAGCAAACAGG
rnacentral:rRNA from 1 species